GCCAUUCAAGAGGUUCUCUACCAGGACACACAUCAUCAAUCCUCUCUCAUGGUGCGCCACCGAGAAGGUUCGGUGCAUGUCGAAGGUAUCAUCAACCACGAGCUAAGAAUAAAGCCUCUACCGGAAGACGAACGUUCACUGCAAGGCCGAAUACUGCACAAGAUCUACAAAGUACAAGAAAUAAAGGGCACCUAUGCGAAUAUCGAGCCGGAGCUCACAAACGUUUUCGAACGAUCCAACGUGGGCCACCAGGUCAAAGCAAGAGACCAGAACAAUCGGAAG
rnacentral:lncRNA from 1 species